rnacentral:rRNA from 1 species
GCAGCAGCCGCGGGAAAACGAAGGGUGCAAGCGUUACUCGGAAUUACUGGGCGUAAAGCGUGCGUAGGUGGUGGUUUAAGUCCGUUGUGAAAGCCCUGGGCUCAACCUGGGAAUUGCAGUGGAUACUGGGUCACUAGAGUGUGGUAGAGGAUAGUGGAAUUUCCGGUGUAGCAGUGAAAUGCGUAGAGAUCGGAAGGAACAUCUGUGGCGAAGGCGACUAUCUGGGACAACACUGACGCUGAGGCACGAAAGCGUGGGGAGCAAACAGGAUUAGAUACCCCAGUAGUCCCUGUCUCUUAUAC